GGUGCGGUAAGACGCACUGGAGGACCGAACCAGGGCACGUUGAAAAGUGCUUGGAUGACUUGUGGGUAGCGGAGAAAUUCCAAACGAACUUGGAGAUAGCUGGUUCUCUCCGAAAUAGCUUUAGGGCUAGCGUCGACAUUAGAGAUUCUUGGAGGUAGAGCACUGUUUGGGUGAGGGGUCCAUCCCGGAUUACCAAUCUCAGAUAAACUCCGAAUGCCAAUGAAUUAUGGUCGGCAGUCAGACUGCGAGUGCUAAGAUCCGUAGUCGAAAGGGAAACAGCCCAGACCACCAGCUAAGGUCCCAAAAUAAUUGUUAAGUGGAAAAGGAUGUGGGGUUGCACAGACAACUAGGAUGUUAGCUUAGAAGCAGCUAUUCAUUCAAAGAGUGCGUAAUAGCUCACUAGUCGAGUGACCCUGCGCCGAAAAUGUACCGGGGCUAAAACAAUUUACCGAAGCUGUGGAUACCUUUUAUAGGUAUGGUAGGAGAGCGUUCUAUGUGUGGUGAAGGUGUACCGUGAGGAGCGCUGGAACGCAUAGAAGUGAGAAUGCCGGUAUGAGUAGCGCAAGACAGGUGAGAAUCCUGUCCACCGUAAGACUAAGGUUUCCAGGGGAAGGCUCGUCCGCCCUGGGUUAGUCGGGACCUAAGGAGAGACCGAAAGGUGUAUCCGAUGGCCAACAGGUUGAGAUUCCUGUACUAGAGUAUGAAGUGAUGGAGGGACGCAGUAGGCUAACUCGUGCGUACGAAUGGAUGUACGUCUAAGCAGUGAGGCGUGGUAUGAGUCAAAUGCUUAUACCUCUAACGUUGAGCUGUGAUGGGGAGCGAAGUUUAGUAGCGAGUGAGUGAUGUCACACUGCCAAGAAAAGCUUC
rnacentral:rRNA from 1 species